rnacentral:rRNA from 1 species
ACAAGCGGUGGAGCAUGUGGUUAAUUCGAAGCAACGCGAAGAACCUUACCAGGUCUUGACAUCCCGAUGCUAUUUCUAGAGAUAGAAAGUUACUUCGGUACAUCGGUGACAGGUGCUGCAUGGCUGUCGUCAGCUCGUGUCGUGAGAUGUUGGGUUAAGUCCCGCAACGAGCGCAACCCUCGCCUUUAGUUGCCAGCAUUCAGUUGGGCACUCUAGAGGGACUGCCGGUGUCAAACCGGAGGAAGGUGGGAUGACGUCAAGUCCUCAUGGCCUUUAUGUCUAGGGCUACACACGUACUACAAUGGCCGGUACAAAGGGCAGCCACUCAGCGAUGAGGCGCUAAUCCCAUAAAGCCGGUCUCAGUCCGGAUCGCAGUCUGCAACUCGACUGCGUGAAGUUGGAAUCGCUAGUAAUCGUAGAUCAGCAUGCUACGGUGAAUACGUUCCCGGGCCUU